GCCUGUGUGGCAUAGUGGUUUGAGUACUGAACUAUGACUACGGAGACUAGGAUUUGAUUCCCAGCUCUGCCA